rnacentral:rRNA from 1 species
UACGGAGGGGGCUAGCGUUGUUCGGAAUUACUGGGCGUAAAGCGCGCGUAGGCGGACCUGCAAGUCGGGGGGUGAAAGCCCGAGGCUCAACCUCGGAACUGCCUUCGAUACUGCGGGUCUCGAGUCCGGGAGAGGUGAGUGGAAUUCCUAGUGUAGAGGUGAAAUUCGUAGAUAUUAGGAAGAACACCAGUGGCGAAGGCGGCUCACUGGCCCGGUACUGACGCUGAGGCGCGAAAGCGUGGGUAGCAAACAGG